rnacentral:rRNA from 1 species
CUAUCCGUCGCGGGCGCAGGAAAUUUGAGAGGAGCUGUCCUUAGUACGAGAGGACCGGGAUGGACACACCGCUGGUGUACCAGUUGUUCUGCCAAGAGCAUCGCUGGGUAGCUAUGUGUGGCCGGGAUAAGUGCUGAAAGCAUCUAAGCACGAAGCCCCCCUCAAGAUGAGAUUUCCCAUUGCGCAAGCAAGUAAGAUCCCUCAAAGACGAUGAGGUAGAUAGGUUCGGGGUGGAAGCGUGGCGACACGUGCAGCUGACGAAUACUAAUCGAUCGAGGACUUAACCAA